GGUAAGUCGAGUGGGCAGCAACAGGUGAUGGGACAAGGUCCCUGUCACCACACUGGCACAUCAAGCAGCGCACCCGCACAUGCAGGGCACUGUCUGUGGCACCCGAGCGUGCAGCGGAGUGUCUGUGGCACCCGAGCGUGCAGCGGAGUGUCUGUGGCACACAUGCGGCAGCGGAGUGGCUGUGGCACACACGCGGCAGCGGAGUGUCUGUGGCACAUGCGCGUGCAGCGGAAUGUCUGUGGCACACACACGGCAGCAGAGUGUCUGUGGCACCCGAGGGUGCAGCGGAGUGUCUGUGGCACACGCGCGUGCAGCAGAAUGUCUGUGGCACCCGAGGGUGCAGCGGAAUGUCUGUGGCACACACACGGCAGCGGAGUGUCUGUGGCACACGCGCGUGCAGCGGAAUGUCUGUGGCACACACACGGCAGCAGAGUGUCUGUGGCACCCGAGGGUGCAGCGGAGUGUCUGUGGCACACGCGCGUGCAGCAGAAUGUCUGUGGCACCCGAGGGUGCAGCGGAAUGUCUGUGGCACACACACGGCAGCAGAGUGUCUGUGGCACCCGAGGGUGCAGCGGAAUGUCUGUGGCACACGCGCGGCAGCGGAGUGUCUGUGGCACACGCGCGUGCAGCGGAAUGUCUGUGGCACACACACGGCAGCAGAGUGUCUGUGGCACCCGAGGGUGCAGCGGAAUGUCUGUGGCACACGCGCGUGCAGCUGAGUGUCUGUGGCACACGCGCGUGCAGCUGAGUGUCUGUGGCACACGCGCGUGCAGCGGAAUGUCUGUGGCACACGCGGGUGCAGCGGAUGUGCUAAGGCAGGGCCAGGCCAGUGCAUGUCUCAAUGCAGCACGGAAGAGCCCACGAGGACCCAGCCUGGGGGCAGCUGCCCAGCAGACGGCAGAGCCCUUUGCCAGGAGGAGACCAGCUGGGCUCAGCCAUGCCCAGGGCUGGCUGCCAGUCACACGGGCUGGGCAGGGCAGCACGUGGCUGUGUGAACCCGUGAGCCCCAGCACCCUUCCCUCGCCAGCACGGGGCACCUUCGAGCAGGUGCUGGGCUGGUGCCCGACUCCCCGAACGGCCCUGCAGCUACGUGCGCUGCUCUCUUGGGCUGGGUGCUCACUGGCCACUGGCACCCUUCACACACGUCAGCGCUCUCAGGCUCCCCGGCCCCACGUCCAAUGGGGAAACUGAGGCACAGACAGGGACGGGACCUGCCCAGUGUCACGGAAUCCCCCUGGUUGCCUCUUACCCCGACCCACACGUCCUUCUCACCCAGUCACAGAGCCCAGGUCAGCCAGGACCGGGCUGGAGGUGUGUGAUGUCCUGAGGCUUUGCAAACUGCCCCCUACACCCUCCCCCAGCCCAGGGCUCGGAGCCACCGAACCGUUUGGAGUGUGACGUGCCCCAUCUAGCGGGGGAACCCGGCACGACAGCCCCGUGGCUAGGAGAAGGGCCAGCCGGCAAGGCAGGGACUGGGCCCCCAUUAGCCCAGCCCGGGGGCCAGGACUUGCUCUGUCUAGGGCGGGCUGUGCAGGGUGGCUCGCACAGGGCAGUGCCAGGGCCGAUACAUUGCCAGCCAGUUUCCAGCAGGCCAGAGCAGAGAGACGCAGCCAGGCCAGGCCCAGGUCACUGUGCCCAGCCGCACCUCGACCCCAGGUGCCCCCACCCCGCAUGGCUGGGCAAAC
ensembl:lncRNA